CAAGAAUGCUUUGACCCCCUGAGUCAGUCAAAGUGCUUAGUGCUGGAAGAUAUUGUGGAGGGAUUCUCUUCUGUACACUUCAAGAUGGAGAACAAAAAUAAGCCUAAAGAUUCAUUCAGAAGAUUGUCUCACGUAUUCUCCCUUUAUUGCGUGUUUGGACCAGCCUGAACGCUAUUCCAGCCCUCUGUACAGCCUGAGCAGAAGUCCAUUUGCUGCUGUGCCAGAGAAAACUUCUCAACGGUCUUCUGCUGACAGACAUGGGCAUUUAGGAUGAAGAAGAAAGAGAGAAAGAGAGGAAAGGAGGAAGAAAGAAAGAAAAAGAAAUUCCUCUUGUCCAGUUUUGGACUCUAAGCUUCCAUUUUGCCACCUCUGAUCAGAGAAUAGAGGCUACAAAGUUGGAUCUUCAGCCUGCUACAUCUAUUUGCUGAUUAUUUGCUCUAACACCCAAACAAAAGCCUAUCCAUCAAGAGGCAAGAAGCAAUCAGCAGUCCAAGCAUCCUCAUUGUGUAGAAAGUCCCCUCACUAGAUGUGUGAUGGGUGUCUCAGUAUACUAAACAAGUGACCAGGCCUCCCAUGGACUCUAGGUGCCUCUCCACGGAAAUUCUCUCUCUCAUAUGUUUCAUUUACUCCUGAGAGUGCUCCUCUUCGUGCAUUCGUUCCCUUUCCUAUAUCUAUGUCUAUAUUUAUAUCUAUAUCUUAUAAACAAAAGGAUUUACCAUACUUUCAGCCCCAGGCCUCCACUGCAGCAUCCUUUGUAGUUAUCUAGACGCAAAGCUGAAAGUUAACUAGUUUAUGCUUUAGGUUUCAGUAAAAAUAAUGAGCAGAUAUAUUUUGAGAUUUUCUGAAAGAAUUUUAAAAUGUAUUUUCCUGACUAUUCUAAUUAUAGGUCACAACUGUAACUAACAUGCAAUUUGGUCAAGCUGUCGUAUUAUGGGAGCACGAUUCUCUCUAUGUUGUCCAUAUGUAUUGACAUAAAGCUUUUGGGAGGAAUGUGAAGAAAGGUAAUUGUGGCAGUACAAAGUAGAGAUCAAUUAUUUAUAUUACUUUGGGCAGAAGCGGGUCAGAUAUGACUUAGACUCAUUAUUUUCCUUAUUCCCUCAGGCCCCCACCAGUAAGUAUUUAUUGAUUCAUUCUCAGCAUGUGUGACUUUCCCUAAACUCUGCAUACAUGUUUUCAAGUUACAGAUGCUUCAUUUAGUUACUUGCUCAAUUAUUCACCUUAAGAAAAUCCAGUUUAUGCAAAAGUAUAUCUACAAAACAAGCAAAUCAAAGAAUUCAUCUCCCAAGACUUUCUGAACUAUAAAAUUAAGCCUUGAUUAUAAAAUUAAAAAUUACAAAAUUAAAAAAUAAAUCAUUAUGAAAUUAAUCCUUAAUGUUCUAAUGCAUCAUUGUAUAUAAUAAACUUACUUCUGUCUUAUGCUUAAAAUAGUCCUAGUCAUAAAACAUCCUUAGAAUAAUUGAGAAAGUCACCAUUUACAUUAUUUCUAUAUAUUCUGGUUCAAAUGAGAAAUCUUGAUUAAGAAAGUUU
rnacentral:lncRNA from 1 species